AUGGCGACCGGCGCACGGGUGAGUAACACGUAUCCAACCUGCCGUCUACUCUUGGACAGCCUUCUGAAAGGAAGAUUAAUACAAGAUGGCAUCAUGAGUCCGCAUGUUCACAUGAUUAAAGGUAUUCCGGUAGACGAUGGGGAUGCGUUCCAUUAGAUAGUAGGCGGGGUAACGGCCCACCUAGUCUUCGAUGGAUAGGGGUUCUGAGAGGAAGGUCCCCCACAUUGGAACUGAGACACGGUCCAAACUCCUACGGGAGGCAGCAGUGAGGAAUAUUGGUCAAUGGGCGAGAGCCUGAACCAGCCAAGUAGCGUGAAGGAUGACUGCCCUAUGGGUUGUAAACUUCUUUUAUAAAGGAAUAAAGUCGGGUAUGCAUACCCGUUUGCAUGUACUUUAUGAAUAAGGAUCGGCUAACUCCGUGCCAGCAGCCGCGGUAAUACGGAGGAUCCGAGCGUUAUCCGGAUUUAUUGGGUUUAAAGGGUGCGUAGGCGGCCUUUUAAGUCAGCGGUGAAAGUCUGUGGCUCAACCAUAGAAUUGCCGUUGAAACUGGGGGGCUUGAGUAUGUUUGAGGCAGGCGGAAUGCGUGGUGUAGCGGUGGAAUGCUUAGAUAUCACGCAGAACCCCGAUUGCGAAGGCAG
rnacentral:rRNA from 1 species